UGCGUAGGCGGCCCUGUAAGUCAGAGGUGAAAGCCCACAGCUUAACUGUGGAAUUGCCUUUGAUACUGCGGGGCUUGAAUUAGGUUGAGGUUAGCGGAAUGUGGCAUGUAGCGGUGAAAUGCAUAGAUAUGCCAUAGAACACCAAUUGCGAAGGCAGCUGGCUAGACCUUAAUUGACGCUGAGGCACGAAAGCGUGGGGAGCGAACAGGAUUAGAUACCCUGGUAGUCC
rnacentral:rRNA from 1 species